GACGAACGCUGGCGGCGUGCUUAACACAUGCAAGUCGAACGGAAAGGCCCUGCUUGCAGGGUACUCGAGUGGCGAACGGGUGAGUAACACGUGGGUGAUCUGCCCUGCACUUCGGGAUAAGCCUGGGAAACUGGGUCUAAUACCGGAUAGGAGCCAUUUUUAGUGUGAUGGUUGGAAAGUUUUUUCGGUGUAGGAUGAGCUCGCGGCCUAUCAGCUUGUUGGUGGGGUAAUGGCCUACCAAGGCGGCGACGGGUAGCCGGCCUGAGAGGGUGGACGGCCACAUUGGGACUGAGAUACGGCCCAGACUCCUACGGGAGGCAGCAGGGGGGAAUAUUGCACAAUGGGCGCAAGCCUGAUGCAGCGACGCCGCGUGGGGGAUGACGGCCUUCGAGUUGUAAACUCCUUUCGCUAGGGACGAAGCUUUUUGUGACGGUACCUAGAUAAGAAGCACCGGCUAACUACGUG
rnacentral:rRNA from 1 species